rnacentral:pre_miRNA from 1 species
AAAAAGGCAAACCGUGGUUUCCAUGCCCAACAUUUAACCGUCCGUCUUAUUUGAAAAAAUUAUGAAAAAAAUUAAAAAGACAAGUCACACAUAAAAUAUUAAUCAUGUUUUAUCAUCUAACAACAAUGAAAAUACGAAUUAUAAAAAAAUUUCAUAUAAGACAGACAGUUAAAGUUGGACACGGAAACCCAGGGUUUGCCUUUUU